UUGGAGGGCAAGUCUGGUGCCAGCAGCCGCGGUAAUUCCAGCUCCAAUAGCGUAUAUUAAAGUUGUUGCAGUUAAAAAGCUCGUAGUUGAAUUUCGGGAUCAAUUGAUUGGUCGUGCCUAUGGUACGUACUGAUUUUAUUGGUUUCUCCCUUCUGACGAACCAUGAUGUCAUUAAUUUGGUGUCGUGGAGAAUCAGACUGUUACUUUGAAAAAAUUAGAGUGUUUAAAGCAAGCUAACGCUUGAAUACAUUAGCAUGGAAUAAUGAAAUAGGACGUUUGAUCCUAUUUUGUUGGUUUCUAGGAUCGACGUAAUGAUUAAUAGGGAUAGUUGGGGGCAUUAGUAUUCAAUUGUCAGAGGUGAAAUUCUUGGAUUUAUUGAAGACUAACUACUGCGAAAGCAUUUGCCAAGGAUGUUUUCAUUAAUCAAGAACGAAAGUUAGGGAAUCGAAGACGAUCAGAUACCGUCGUAGUCUUAACCAUAAACUAUGCCGACUAGGGAUCGGAUGAUGUUAAUUUUUUUUAAUGACUCAUUCGGCGCCUUAUGGGAAACCAAAGUGUUUGGGUUC
rnacentral:rRNA from 1 species